rfam:Parabacteroides sp. YL27, complete genome.
CAGUGGUAGGCCUGCUGUGGAUCCACAUGGUGUACGUGGCCGUCGAUACCGGCGGCGGUAAGGAUAAGAUGUUCGCCUGAGAUGGCGUCGGUCGACGGACCUGUGACCAGUGUAGGUGUCACACCAUCCAUCACAUCCGGAUUGCCAGCCUUGCCUAUGCCUGCGAUUUUGCCAUCCUUUAUGCCCACGUCGGCCUUGAUUACGCCGAGCAGCGGGUCGAUGAUGGUUACGUUGGUGAUGACAAGGUCGAGCGAACCUUCUGAUGUUGUGUAGCGGUUGGCAAGGCCCAUGCCGUCGCGCAG